rnacentral:snoRNA from 1 species
CUCAUUGAUGAUGGUGAGAUGGCAUCUCAUAUACUUAAUGGUCUUGACUUUGAGUAUAAUCCUUUUGUAUCUUCAAAGCUUGGCCAUGCGGAUCCCCUUCCUCUCUGAGUUAUACUCUCAUCUGAUGUCCUAUGAGC